rnacentral:rRNA from 1 species
AGCGAACGCUAGCGGAUGGCCUAACACAUGCAAGUCGAGCGGAACCUUCGGGUUCAGCGGCGGACGGGUGAGUAACACGUAGGGAUCUACCCUUUGGCGGGGAUAGCCAGUCGAAGACUGAUUAAUACCGCAUAUGGUCUACGGAUCAAAGCAGCAAGUGCACCGAAGGAUGAGCCUGCGGCCGAUUAUUUAGUCCUUGUUGGUGGGGUAAUGGCCUACCAAGGGUACGAUCGGUAGCUGGUCUGAGAGGACGAUCAGCCACACUGGAACUGAGACACGGUCCAG